rnacentral:rRNA from 1 species
UUUAAAUUUAAUUUAUAUUUAAAUUUAAUUUAUAAAUAUAUAAUAAUAAAUAAAUUUUUAUUUAUAUAUAAUUUAAAUAAAUUAAUAAUAUUUAAUAAUUAAAAUUAUUAAGUAAAGAAAUUUAUAUUUGUAAUAUUUUUAUAUUUAUUUAAUUAAGUGCCAGCAAUAGCGGUUAAUCUUAAGAAUAAAAGUUAAUUUUAUUUAUUUUAAAUUAAUAUUAUUUUAUUUUAAAUAGGUAUAUUAAUAAAUUUUAAUUUAUUUGUAAAAUAUAAUAAUUAUAUUAAUAUUUUUAGUUUAUUUAAAUUUUUUAAUUUAAUAAAUUUGAGUUUAAACUAGGAUUAGAUACCCUAUUAUAUAAAUGUAAAUUUAAUAUAAUAAAGUAAAUUUAAUUAGUGAAAUUUAUAAAUUUGAUAGUAUUUUAAUUUAAUUAGAGGAGCUUGUUAUUUAAUUUGAUAGUCCACGAUAAGAAAAAUUUAUACAGUUAAGUUUAUAUAUGUCCGUUUAUAAAUUUUUUUUAAAAAAUAAAUUUUUUUAAUAAUUUAUUAAUUAAUAAUUCAGGUAAAUAUGUAGUUUUGAUGUAUAAAAAUUAAUGAGUUACAAUAAUAUAUAUAUUAAUAAAUUUAAUUUUAAUAUUAAAUUAAUUAGAAUUUAAAAGUAAAAUUAAUUAAUUGAUUAAUUUGAUUUAAUAAAUUUUAAAAUAUAUACAAAUUGCCCGUCAAUUUAAUUUAAUUUAAAAUAAAAAUUAAAUAAGUCGUAACAAAGUAAAUGUACUGGAAAGUGUAUUUAGAAUGAA